CCUACGGGGGGCAGCAGUGAGGAAUAUUGGUCAAUGGACGAGAGUCUGAACCAGCCAAGUAGCGUGAAGGAUGACUGUCCUAUGGGUUGUAAACUUCUUUUAUAUGGGAAUAAAAUGUUCCACGUGUGGGAUUUUGUAUGUACCAUAUGAAUAAGGAUCGGCUAACUCCGUGCCAGCAGCCGCGGUAAUACGGAGGAUCCGAGGGUUAUCCGGAUUUAUUGGGUUUAAAGGGAGCGUAGGUGGAUGGUUAAGUCAGUUGUGAAAGUUUGCGGCUCAACCGUAAAAUUGCAUUUGAAACUGGCAGUCUUGAGUACAGUAGAGGUGGGCGGAAUUCGUGGUGUAGCGGUGAAAUGCUUAGAUAUCACGAAGAACUCCGAUUGCGAAGGCAGUUCACUGGACUGCAACUGACACUGAGGCUCGAAAGUGUGGGUAUCAAACAGGAUUAGAUACCCCUGUAGUC
rnacentral:rRNA from 1 species